GUGCACACGGCGGUGUUCCGCCCCGGCCGGCCCGAGGGGGCCCUGGAGGUCAAGAAAGCCGCUUGCGAGGCGCUGAGGGAAGAGCCAGAAGACGCUGUUUGGGUUUCACGAGCCACCCUCUUCAAAGUCCUGGGGGCGCUCUGUGUGGCAUGCGCUGGUAUUAUUGGAAGCCAGUACAUGAACACUAGCAUCUGAGACCGGGUCCCAUCGGGCCUGCGCCCUGCCCACAGGCCGCUGUCCAUCUGGAUCUUAACUACCAUCCAAAAUAAAAAACAUCAUCCUGUAAGAUUUGUGUGUCUGUACCUUUACAUUUCCACUUAAAACCUUUAUCACACUUUCAAACACGAAUAUGCAGCAGUCACAUUUUAGGUCUUACUCCUCAGAACAAAUGUCUUUGCUAUAGGAAAAAUGGGAACAUGUUUGAGAUUAUUCUGAUAUUUCCACUAUUUUUCACUUUUUAAAUGUCAAUUUUCAGUCCUGUGGUUUUCUCCAGUCACAUUAGCCAAUCUUGAUCAAUGCCAUUACUGACUUCAGCAUAAAACAGGGGAGAUCAACUAGAGUGGUUCGCUAAGUGAUCAUCAUGUUGCCUCUAUUGCUCAGCACUGGGGUUAGUAUGAAUGUGUCACUGACGGAAGUACAGCUUUAUCCUGGGAAGAGUAGUUGGUGCAAAAAUGAAGUGUGAUUUAUGCUCAUGUGUAAAAGUCCAGUUGAAUUGUACAGGUAAAUAACACAUGAAUCUUAACAUUUAUUCAAAUUAGUCCAUCACUUCUGAAUAUUAUUUUAACUAAUUGACCUUUCUACCUCUGUUCAGACUUCUCCAUCUGUUAUUCCUUCUGUCAUAAACAGAUAGCUAAGGGUUAAUGUCUCUUUCACCUGGAAAGGAGUAA